rnacentral:lncRNA from 1 species
AUAAUACAGUCUGACUGUUUAGAUCUAGGUAUUGUUUAUACUUUUUAUAUAAAUUUAACUUUGAUUUAUAAUUUUUUUGGAGCAAAUGCUUCUGUUUUCUUUGUAAUUGUUUCAAUGCCAUACAUUAAUAAGCAACCAAUUUGAAUGUCAUUAUAUCAUUUGUGGUGUUCUAAAGAAUUUGUUUAUAUAUUUGCAGAUUAAAUAAUAAAAUAAACACUUUUCGUGUUAUUUUAAAUAAG